rnacentral:rRNA from 1 species
UCUUGGUCAUUUAGAGGAAGUAAAAGUCGUAACAAGGUAUCCGUUGGUGAACCAGCGGAGGGAUCAUUACCGAGUUUACAACUCCCAAACCCAAUGUGAACGUUACCAAACUGUUGCCUCGGCGGGAUCUCUGCCCCGGGUGCGUCGCAGCCCCGGACCAAGGCGCCCGCCGGAGGACCAACCAAAACUCUUAUUGUAUACCCCCUCGCGGGUUUUUUUAUAAUCUGAGCCUUCUCGGCGCCUCUCGUAGGCGUUUCGAAAAUGAAUCAAAACUUUCAACAACGGAUCUCUUGGUUCUGGCAUCGAUGAAGAACGCAGCGAAAUGCGAUAAGUAAUGUGAAUUGCAGAAUUCAGUGAAUCAUCGAAUCUUUGAACGCACAUUGCGCCCGCCAGUAUUCUGGCGGGCAUGCCUGUCCGAGCGUCAUUUCAACCCUCGAACCCCUCCGGGGGGUCGGCGUUGGGGAUCGGCCCUCCCUUAGCGGGUGGCNGUCUCCGAAAUACAGUGGCGGUCUCGCCGCAGCCUNUCCUGCGCAGUAGUUUGCACACUCGCAUCGGGAGCGCGGCGCGUCCACAGCCGUUAAACACCCAACUU